UUCGCUCCGCUUCCAGAGCUUUCUCGUCGUCCUCUGUGCACCCGCAACCCUCCUCACAGAGGGCCCUAAAGGCGGCGGCGGCGGCCAUUGCGGUAGCAGCAUGCCGAGGAGACCGGCGCCCGCGGCGGCGACGACAUGCCGGCGGCCUUCGCCGCGUCCUGGCCUCGCCUCGCCGCCUCCUGCCGCGCAGCCGGCGCAGGGGCGCUGGCACGGCCUCUGCUCUCCGCGCCGCCCGGACAACCGGAUCCGCGCCCCGGCCUCCUCCUCAACAUGCCUCCUCGCCGUCCCCGUUCCCGUCCCCGUGCGCCCGCGGCUGCCUGCCAGCCCACCUCCUCCUCCACGCGCCUCCGCGACGUCUUGUCGUCCCCGUCCCCGGCGCGCCCUCUGCUCCUCGCCGCCCGGACAACCAGGUCCGCACCCCGGGCUCCUCCUCGCCGUCCCUGUCCCCGUCGUCCCCCGUGCGCCCGCGGCACGGGGCCAGCUACUAUAGCUGCCGUCUCGGCGUACAGGCCAACUCCAACCACCACGGCUGCUCCCACAUCACCUGCUGCAGUGGUGCUGCUGCUGGGCCGGCCGCCCUCUCCCUUCGGGCUCCCUCGUCAGGUGCCCCCCACCGCAGGAUCCAAAUCGGAUUUGGAGUCGUAGAUCGAACUCGCUCCAGCCUCCAGCCCAAAUCUUAUCCUUUUCCCUCGGAUUGGACCUCUGAUUCACUUUCUAUCUACUUCCUCUUGCACAUGGAAUCCAUCUCCCAAAUCUGUUCUUCCCCGCUAGAUUAUUUUUCUUUUUUCAGGUCCAAUCCAUGCCUCCCAAUUUCCUUCCUAAAAUCAAAAUGGGCCAUGUCGCUGUUGUCAGCCAUCUGACGUCCGUGAGCACCUCGCUAUAAAUUUCUGGUUAUGCCUCUUGCGACGAUAGUAACGCCCAUUUUCUAAUUUUGGUUUCGCUCCCAAUCAGCAUGCUGCAUUUGGUCAUUUCCUCCCUCUCUUUCUUGCAGUCGGCGCUUGCUUUUGCUUUUCCAUAUGAUGUGGCUGAGUAUGGCCAUCACCCCUGUCCCUCUCUCUUAUAUUCCUCUUGCUUUUACUACUUUGGUCCUCACCUUUCUUGCAGCGUUUACCACUUACCUGUGUAGCCUCCUGAGUAUACAGAUUGAUUAAUAAGAUUUGUCUUUACCAAUAGGAGGCUCUGCCUUUCAAACUGAUUUGGUUCUCCCUGCUAUUUCAAUUUCAGACUGAUUGUGCCUUCUGUUCUCUCUUCAGUGAUUUAUUAACAGAUACUUUCAACACUUAUUUGUUUCCAUUCUUGCAUUGUAGUUCCUGUAAGCUGAAUGUUCAGAACUCAGUUUGCUUAUCUACUUCACUCAAAUGCACAUUACAAAACUGGUUACUACAUUUGCUCUUCAAGAUUUCCUAAUUUUUGUUCCCCUCCUCAGUUUAUUUACGUUCAGGUAGCCCUGUGUCUCUCCGUCAAAGUUCUGAAUAUGAUCAGAUCGUUCCUAUUUUUUGUAGGCUGCAAAAUAAACUGAAGGACCAUUCCAACUAAUGUAGCAUUGCUAAAUAAAAUAUGCUUAUCAGACGAGGUGGAGGCCGCUGCGCGAGCCGAGGCAAACAAGAAGGUGCUAAUCUUGAUGAGCGGCACGGGCGGCAGGCACCGAGCAUCCGCCGAGCCCAUAAGCCUGCCUUCGUCCAAGAGUUCGGCAAGAACUACCUGAUGAGAAACAGAAGGCAGCUAGGUAGUUUGGUAAGGCAUUUUUUUUUGCCUGACAGGGGCACUGCAGUAUCAAGAACAUAAUCGUCCUUUUCUACUUGAGAUAUUAAAUGAUUUAUGACCAUUUCUGAGACCAUUAGUAAUCUGAGUUUUAGCAAAUUGCUUCUUAUCUUUUUAUUUGUAAAACUGUUCAAAUUGCACCAGUGGCGAUAAUGUCUUUCCAUAGGUGAGGUCUGUGAAACCUGUUUUAACAAGGCUUUUUUCAAUGGUACUAUAAGAGUGGUGGAUUUUCACCAAGCAACAAAGCAAGUAAAUUCUUUUUCAGAUUGCUGUUGGUAGCAGCUCAUCCUCUAGCUGCUGCUACUACAGCAAAGUUUUAUAGUAAUAAUGUAGAUCAAGAACAAACUUAAUACAACAUUCCCUCUUCAUCAGCUUAAGGUGGCAAAUUGUAAAAUGAACAGUGAAAUGUCUAACUGAAAUUUCUUUUGGGGGCACAGCUUGGUCCCUUUUGUUGGUAAAAUCUAAAGCUUCUUCAAAUGGUUAUGACCAUGGAACGACAAGGGACUCAUGGGAGGAAAUGCCUAUAUGGCUCAAUCUGAGAUAAAUAAAACCAAUUGUUCCUUAGAUAUUCUGUUGCUAAGAAUGUAUAGUUGCACCUUGAAAAUAUUCAGCACAGAUCAGAUUAGGUAUGUUCUUCAAUUUAAACAGCACCUUUGAAAAUAGAUAUUUAUUCAAAUGAUUAUCCGACCAUCUCAACUCUCAUCCAAAGUAUCUUUAACAUAUUUUUUUCUUACAAAAUCUUUUUCCAUGAAACAUGUCCUACCUCAAGUAAAUGCAUGCCAUGCCAAAAAAAAGAGAGAGAAAAGCACCAGCCAGCGCAGCAGCAGGAAACAAAGCUGUAAGACCACUCACCAAGUAAAGUCAAGGAGGAAACUCCAACCACUUGAUAUUGGCUUCUAUCGAUUAGUAAUGUAUGCUCCUAUGGCAGGACUCACCACGGUUAUGAGAAGCCAUCACCUUGAUGUGAGUCAGCAUGCUCAGUUUGGAAUAAAGAAAAUAGCUAUGUUCUGUUCUGGAAUUUUGCAGCUGUUGAUUAUAGAUUGGUUGCGUGCCAAGCAUCGGUUCUUGCUCUAACCCAUGAGCUUGCAUAGCAAAUUGAGAAGGCCAUGUAUAUCGAGAAACCAAAUACAUCAGUGCUCCAAACUCUUCAUAUAGCAUGCUGUGCUCGAGCUUGCCAAGACGCCAACCCUUGCUCCAACUUCUCUUAUACAGCUUUCUAUGCAUGUAUCAGCCGAGGGCUCAAGGGCAAUAGUAGGAAGCCAUGUUUUCUGUCACAUCCUUUGAUCAGUUCCAUAACUUCCUACCGACGUGAAAAAUAUGUGUAUUUAGAUUCCUAUUAGAAGACUAAACAAUAGCUCUGUAGAUUACAUGUUCCAUUAUAAAUAUAUGCUUUCUACAUUUACUUAUCUUGAGGAAAAAAAGGAAAAAAACAGGGCAAGCUACUUCCAAUGUAAUGCGAGAAAGGGUUUACUCCCCGUCUUCAUCGCAAACAAGACCAAAGCAAAACCAUGUGAGUGCUUAGAGCACUAAGCCAGAUUGGAAAAAGGUCAGGAGCAACACAACCAUUCCAGGGACUUAACAUUUAGCACUGCCUAUGCCAGAAGAUUUAAUAGGCAGUAGCGCUUUUGUACUAAUGCGUAGUUGUGCAUUGUAUAUGAGAAAUAAUUGUACUAUCAUAUAUACCUACUAACAUAUGGCCAUACCAUGUUAAUGACCUGUUUAUAUGUAUUAA